rnacentral:lncRNA from 1 species
UUGUUAGAGCUGCCUGAAUGGCGUAAGACACCAUCCAUCUGGAACUUGAGCAGUUCCAGCCAGACCUGGCAUCCAAGCAAGCUGCCAACGAGGGCAGCCUUCUGGGGUUGGCUUCUUCUAUCUUGGCAGGGGGAGGGGAACAGAUGCAGAAUGCCUACUAGUGAUUCUUCUCUUUUCUUACAGGCAGACAUUCUUUUCAGUGGAAUGGAGGAUGAUGGAGGCUUUCCCAAAAGUCUACACAUGGGAAGUUAAGCUGUUCAUGCCCUGUGCCGUUGUGGAAUCCUGCCAUAAGACCAGCUGCUGCAUAAAUGUGUGUAAACCUAACCAAGCUCACAGGACUACCGCAUGAAGGGACAAACACCCACAGAACGCCCCUGACCUGUAGGAUGCUGUGUCGAUGGGCUCCCAUGCUUUCUCUUAAUUUCUAUGACAGCCGUGAAAGGUCGUUCCUCCACAUCUGAGGCCAAUUUCUCAGCGUUUGCGCGUUACCUGUCAAGCCCAGGAUUCAAGAAGUGGACCACAGAGAGUGUUCCUCCCAAAGGCAAGGUCUCUGUACUGAUGCAUCCACACUACUUUCCCUGCUCUGGGAAGACAGAGCAGGAACCUGGAUGCUUCUAGAAAUACUGUUGGCUUUAUUCAACUUUUUACUAACAAACAUAGAAACCCUAACACCUGUCAGGCUUCUUACUCAGUGACAGAGGUUUGGAGAUUGGCCACAUGAAAUCUUAAGCUUAGAAAGUUCAUGGUCUUGGGAUGUGGUUAGGGUAUGGAUGAGGAGUGGUAGACAAUGAGCAAUGACAGUACGGGGGAUGGGGUGAGGAAGUCAGGGUGGCCUCCCAGAGUAGGUGACUGUGAGUGGAGAUGCUAGACUCCUGUUUCCUAUGCUUGCCUAUUCUUCUUGAAUUCUUGAGAAAUAGUUACACUAUGAUUGCAUUCUGGUAACUUUAUUAAACAUACCAUACUUACAUAUUUCCUAAACCAAGAAACCAAGCUUUCCUGGGAAUUCAUAGUGGGGGGAAAAAGCAACACUAAUACAUAGUGGCAUAAAUGUACAGAUGUUUUCUGCAGCAUGGUUUAUAACAACAAAAGCCUGGAAAAUGAGAGAAUUCCAAAUUACUUUUAGGAAGUAUUUUGAAACUACUUAAAAUAAAAAAUGAAGAAUGAAUAGAGCUCUCCA